rnacentral:rRNA from 1 species
UACGUAGGGACCAAGCGUUGUUCGGAUUUACUGGGCGUAAGGGCGCGUAGGCGGCGCGGUAAGUCACUUGUGAAAUCUCUGAGCUUAACUCAGAACGGCCAAGUGAUACUGCAGUGCUAGAGUGUGGAAGGGGCAAUCGGAAUUCUUGGUGUAGCGGUGAAAUGCGUAGAUAUCAGGAGGAACACCGGUGGCGAAGGCGGGUCUCUGGGCAGUAACUGACGCUGAGGAGCGAAAGCGUGGGGAGCGAACAGG